AUUGAACGCUGGCGGCAUGCGUAACACAUGCAAGUCGAACGGUGUUUGGUGCUUGCACCAGACAUAGUGGCGGACGGGUGAGUAAUGCGUAGGAAUCUGUCUUAGAGAGGGGGACAACCCGAGGAAACUUGGGCUAAAACCGCAUAUUCUCGAGAGAGGAAAGCAGGGGACCGGAAACGGCCUUGUGCUCUAAGGUGAACCUACGUCGGAUUAGCUAGUUGGUAGGGUAAAAGCCUACCAAGGCGAUGAUCUGUAGCUGGUCUGAGAGGACGGACAGCCACACUGGGACUGAGACACGGCCCAGACUCCUACGGGAGGCAGCAGUGGGGAAUAUUGGACAAUGGGGGAACCCUGAUCCAGCGAUGCCGCGUGUGUGAAGAAGGCCUGCGGGGUUGUAAAAGCACUUUUCAGUGGGAAAGAGAAGCGUCUUGUGAAUAAUGGGACGUGGAGACGUUACUCACAGAAGAAGCACCGGCUAAACUCUGUGCCAGCAGCCGCGGUAAU
rnacentral:rRNA from 1 species